UUUUUAUAUGAUCUAAUCCUUUUUUUAAAAAAAAUAAAAAAUUGUAUAUGCUCUACUUGUUGGUUGUUAAAUAAUUGGAUGGUCACCGCUUACCAGAGACCAAAUUUAGGUUACAUGAAUGACAAGAACUUCUCGCGUGUGGAAAAUGACGUGAUUAAUCUCUAUCACCCACCAAACAUAUGAUUUCUUAUAAAAUUUUCCAAGUAAGGAGAGAAAAUCAAAAGUGCAUGUACCAAAUCUAAGGGAUAAUUUUUCACGAUGUUAGGUGCUCCCCCGGCUUUCAUUCUCACCUGUUCACCUUCUACGGAGACAAAACCCCUUUGCUUUGUUGACCACUACAAUCAUUACAGACCAGUUUUCGGAGAAAACGCCUGCAAUUUAGCAAGCGUGCGUUGUUUUAAAAUCAAACUACAUUCUUCUUCCGAAAAAAUGAAAUCAACUAUUUUUUUUUUUUUUCCUUCAAGGGUAGCCAUUCGGAAGAUUGCAUUGUUCACUCAAUUUUUUAUUAAAAUUAUAUUUAUUUCAUGUUCGUGGAUGUCGGAUACUUGCAUAAAUAUUAAAUUCCUGUUUGUUUAAUAUGCCUAAAUUAAUAAUAAAUAAUUUUUGCUUUGCAAUAUUAUUAAUGUAAAAUGGUUGCGUAGGAUAAGUAUGAUAUUUUUUGGAGGACAUAAUUUACAUUACAUGUAUCCGUUUUAAGCGUAUAAUAUAUCAUUUCUAAACUUACAACGAGAUCAAUCAAAUCUAGAACAAUUAAUGUUGUUUUGCCUCGUGGACAAGUCAAAAAAUCUAUUUUUUUAUUUUUCCUGUUAUUUUUAGGAUUUUU
rnacentral:lncRNA from 1 species